rnacentral:rRNA from 1 species
CCUACGGGACGCAGCAGUGAGGAAUAUUGGUCAAUGGUCGGGAGACUGAACCAGCCAAGCCGCGUGAGGGAGGAAGGUACAGAGUAUCGUAAACCUCUUUUGUCAGGGAACAAAGACUGGGACGCGUCCCCGGAUGAGUGUACCUGAAGAAAAAGCAUCGGCUAACUCCGUGCCAGCAGCCGCGGUAAUACGGAGGAUGCGAGCGUUAUCCGGAUUUAUUGGGUUUAAAGGGUGCGCAGGCGGGCUGUUAAGCCGGCGGUAAAAAUUCAGGGCUCAACCCUGUCGAGCCGUCGGAACUGGCAGUU